UGCCGACUUUCUCUCGCUCUUCUUCGCCUCCUCUUCCGUCCCUUUCUUUCUUUCUCUCCCUGAUUUCAUUCCCAUCGUUCUUGCGUCAAAUCGCCUGUGCCAAGAAAAUCUGGCACCAAACUGCUUUGAUUCACCUGUCGUUCUCCGCCUGCUGACUGCUAUUGUGUUCGUGACAUUAUUCACUGGACAUUGAUUCUUCGUUACAUAUUUGGAGACAAGAGCUUGCGGGAUAAGUUUCGGAAUCCUCUGGAGUCUCGACCUUCAACACCAACCUUCCCCGUCUUUCACACUCGAUAGCGCUAUUAAGAUGCUCUAAGGAGCAGAGAUUUUGCUUUUACGUGCAUGACGUGCUGCCGUGUCUUGUCGAAUAAAUCAGCCCUACAUGAAGAGCGGAGGAAUCCUUGUUAAGCUGCGGUGUCAUGGGUUGAGCGGACUACGGCAAUGGUUAAGCGAACAACUGGGCGAACAAGCAAAUUGUGUGGAGCUAGACCUUGCCCUCAUGGGUGCGCUUACGGCGGUCUCGAUAGAAAAAUAAAUAAAUAAAUCAAUAUUGAUUGUGUGUCGAAGAGAGGAUUGUUAGGUAGUGUGUUCCUGUGGUUCAUGAUGCGUGUGGAAUUUAGUUGAGUUUUGACUCCUCUCCAACGCCCAAUGUGACCAGCAGAUGUGCCGAGUCUAUAAAACCUGAACAGAAGGACGCUGCGCUUGUUGAUCCAACUCCAACAAUGCCAUGCGUGUAUGCAUGUGACUUGGAUAAAAUUCUGCACUCCAUGAGUUGAGUUGCAUCAGAGUGUAGUCGGCCAAGGAUUGGCGAUUGUGCUUGGUGUUGGGUCGACCUUCACUGGCAGCAUCUUCCCUGUUUUGGAGUCAUCGUCUAGCACCUAGCGAUCAAGCAAGGUGGCGGAGCAGCUUGUCUAGCACCUGGGCAAUUAGGCAAGGGUGGCGGACUGUGGUGGUAGAACUCCACUCACAACCAGUCGACCAGCGUGGCAUUUCUUCAAGCUCAAUGAGGGCUCCAGGGCGAUCAUAUAAUAAGUAGAGUAGGUUUAGAAGAACCUACUUAGUUUAGAGUUUUCAUCAUGUAUUUUUAUUUUUAUUUUUAUCUUGUGCUAGUACCACCUUUUGGUUU